ACUAGAAAGAGGAUAGGACAAGCAAGGCGCUUCCAGAAUUUGUUGUAGAUAGGCCAAACGGAGAGCGGAGAUGCUUACUUUGACGAAUUAGUUGCGGAACAAAACAUUAGAAAUGGCAGGAGCAGGUGCUGUGAAAGCGGUGGCACUCAUCACCGGAGAACCCCAUGUCAAAGGCUCUCUUCAGUUCGUCCAACGCCCCAAUGGGCCUACCCAUAUCACAGGGAAGAUAACAGGCCUAUCACCAGGCCUUCAUGGCUUCCAUAUUCAUGCUCUUGGUGACACCACCAAUGGCUGUAAUUCCACUGGACCUCAUUUCAAUCCAUUGAAGAAGGACCAUGGAAGUCCAGCGGAUGAAGAACGUCACGCAGGGGAUUUGGGCAACAUUUUUGCUGGCUCAGAUGGAAUAGCUGAGAUCUCAGUUAAGGACAUGCAGAUACCACUGAGUGGGCCACAUUCCAUAUUGGGGAGGGCGGUUGUUGUGCAUGCUGAUCCUGAUGAUCUUGGAAAAGGAACCGUGUUGCCCAUUUUUGGAUAGCCAUUUGAGGAGGUUGAAAUAUCAGUUUGGAUUGGAGUCUUGCUUUCAUGGAAAUGUGGACAUGAACUUAGCAAGACUACUGGGAAUGCUGGUGCCAGAGUUGGAUGUGGCAUCAUUGGACUUCAAUCAUCUGUUUAGAUUGAUAAGAUGUUUUUCUGGGAAAAGGAAAAUGAAGAAAGAAAAUUUUCGUAAAUUUUGCUGGGCCUGUCAAUUACACAUUGCUGAAGUUGUAGCAUUUCACUCAAAAUUAUGUAAUGUAGUCACUCAAUAAACAAAUUGUCAAUAUAUCAUAAUGGACUUUGAAAGCUUUAUUGUACUACAUCUGAUACCUGAAAGAUACACUUUCAUAUGGCAAUUGAUGUCUCUAUUCCAUAAUUAAUAAAUUGCAUGACCACUCAGGCUGGUUUUCAAGUGA